rnacentral:lncRNA from 1 species
GGGGGGGAGAGUACUGCAAAGUUGUUUUGGCCGAUAGCUAUUCCAAGAACUAAUCCAUGAAUUUGUUGGGAUACCUAUUUCCUUGUGUGGUUGCUUCCCUGAUUCCAAUUGUUCGUGGGGGUUGGACUGGCAUCGGUCACUGAGACCUCGUUUAACUGAUUCUGGAGGGCUAUGGCUUUUUUCUUCUGCACUGGAGUGCUCCAUCACAUUUGAUUCCGGGAAGAAUAAGAGAGCCUGGGAGCAGUUAUUAGAAUUGAGAUGGGUGCUUUUGCAACACCAGUUAUAAGGUCCUUUUCUCCUUUGACAACAGAGUUUGAUCGUGAAAGCAGGUAUUCGAUUAGCUCUUGAAGCUGGAAUUCUCCCCCUUGAAGUAGAGCCUGAUAGUAUGAAGGCUGGUAGCUUGGUAACCUCUAACGACUUGUGUUGGGAGAAGAAAGGGGUAAUAGUGGAGGAUAUUAAAUGCUGUUGAACUGUGGUGCACGGUGCACCCAAGGUCUGCUUCUAACCGAGGGAAUGCAACAAAGUAUUUUAAGGAAUGUAUUGAUUUCUUUUGUAUUGAAAUUGGGUGGAAAGUAUUUCAACAAAGUUUGAGUUGCUUUAAAUUCUACCGUUAGAUGUAGAUCUAAGAGUGGUUGAGCAUACUGCUGAGUAGGGGACACCACUGCUUACUGCUUCAGGAUUUAUGGUCUUCCUCAAGAGCUAUUGAGCAAAUGCAUGUUAGAUCACAGGAGCGAGCAGAGAAGAGAAGGAUCGCUCACAGAGUAUGGGGACUUUGGGGAGAAUUUGGAGUGAUGAAGUACAAAGGUCCUCAAGUUCUAGAGCUUCCUAGAAGCCUUAGAAUGUGACACUAGUAAAGCUAAAAUCCCCAUUUACUCCUUGCUGACUAAAUUUCAUGAAAUACUGUAAUUCAACGAUAAAUUUAAAUAUUAGUUAAAUUUGUUAUAACCUUUAGCUUCGGAUUGUCUAUCAGUUGUAGCAAACUAGCAACUAUCAAGUUCCCUUACCUUUUACAAUGGCAUUGCCUGAUGCUUCAGGAGAUAUCUGAUCACUUGU